rnacentral:rRNA from 1 species
CCUACGGGAGGCAGCAGUGAGGAAUAUUGGUCACUGGACGCAAGUCUGAACCAGCCAUGCCGCGUGCAGGAAGACGGCUCUAUGAGUUGUAAACUGCUUUUGUACGAGGGUAAACGCAGAUACGCGUAUCUGUCUGAAAGUAUCGUACGAAUAAGGAUCGGCUAACUCCGUUCCCGCAGCCGCGGUAAUCCGGAGGAUUCAAGCGUUAUCCGGAUUUAUUGGGUUUAAAGGGUGCUUAGGCGGUCGGAUAAGAUAGAGGUGAAAUCCCGAGGCUCAACGUCGGAAUUGCCUAUGAUACUGUUCGGCUAGAGAGUAGUUGCGGUAGGCGGAAUGUAUGGUGUAGCGGUGAAAUGCAUAGAGAUCAUACAGAACACCGAUUGCGAAGGCAGCUUACCAAACUACGACUGACGUUGAGGCACGAAAGCGUGGGGAGCAAACAGGAUUAGAUACCCCUGUAGUC